rnacentral:rRNA from 1 species
CAUCCAGUAUGGAAAAAGCUAUGGAAUUUGAAAGCACCGGGAAAGGUGAAAAUUUUCCUGUGGAGAUGUCCGCAUGACGCAAUUCCCUGUCGUUGCGUGCUAGCUAAUAGGCACAUAUCACAGUCUGCUCAAUGCCCAAUUUUCUCACAAUUUGCAAAAGAUAUAGCACAUCUCUUAUUUAAAUGUGAUAGAGCACAGGAGAUUUGGAGGGGGCUCGGACUGCAUGAAAUAAUAGCCAAAGUGGCAAUACCGGGUCGAUCAGGCGUUGAAAUCAUUGAGAUAUUUCUGUGUGAUCCAGGACACAACACUAAAUAUAUGGACCAGGUGAUCUUGCCUGAAUUGAUUGCGGUGGCAUCAUGGUAUCUGUGGUGGGAGAGGAGAAGCAUAACUCGGCAGAAACCAGUGCAAUCUCCAACGCGGACAAGCCAGGCGAUUCAAGCUCUGUCUUUGAACUUCGUACGGGCUGCAUGUAAACCAACGACGAUCCUGCGUCUUAAUCACUGGAAAAACCACUACUGA